UUCUAUUAGUUAUAAUUAAUAGUAUAAUCUGCUCAAUGAUACUAAAUAGCCGCUAAUAUUGUGCUAAGGUAGCAUAAUCAUUUGUCUUUUAAUUGAAGACUAGAACAAAAGAUUGAACAAUUUAAUUAAUAUAUUAAAAUUAAUAAAUUAAAUUUAUUUUAAAUGUAAAAAAACUUUUAUAUAUAAGGAAGACGACAAGACCCUAUUAAACUUAACUUAAGUUUAACUGGGGCAGUUAAUCAAUUAUUACUUUAAUAAAAAUAUUAAAUCAAAAGAUCCAACACAAUUGAUUACAUGACCAAGUUACUAUAGGGAUAACAGCGUAAUAUUAAUCUAAAGAUCUCAUUUAAAUAAAAUGUUUACGACCUCGAUGUUGAAUUAAUAACCUAAAUUAUCGCAAUAAAUAAAUAAAGGAAGUCCGUUCGACUUUUAAAAAAUUACA
rnacentral:rRNA from 1 species